rnacentral:lncRNA from 1 species
GGGAGUCAGUUACGCACGAGGAAGGGUUAGCACCCUCGUAACGCCCAAAAUUGGUACCAAAUUGAUUAUUUAAUGUCUUAGUGUCGAAGGUUUAAAAAGAUUUUAAAAUCAACUCAAAUGAUGGAAUUUGAAAAAGGAUAAUCAAUUGCUCGAGUCAUGUACAGAAAUCGAGUCCCAAUACGUUAGGGUAUAAUUCCUCAUAAUGCCCAAACUUUGAAUAUCACUUUUAUUUUAUACGAAAAUCUUUAUUUCGAGAAAGUAACAUGCCAC